GCCCACUUCAUGUGCAUGUGCGAAAAUUGGAACAGCGCCAAAAAGAUUAGCAUGGCUCCUGCACAAGGAUGAUUUGCAAAUUUGUGAAACAAACUGUCGUGUU